rnacentral:rRNA from 1 species
GAAUCCCUGCAACACUUCCUCGUUGAUUGUGUCUUCUCAAGGAUCACCUGGCACGAGGUCAUGUCUUGGUGUCGACUACCGCCGCCCAUCCCGGACGUCCAGACCACCUUCUUCGACUGGUGGCUGGAGUGGCCCGCCGUGGCCCCGCCUCAGCAACACAAGGGCUUUUCCUCUCUCACAAUCAUCACAGCUUGGUUCAUUUGGAAGCACAGGAAUGUAGCCAUCUUCGAUGGCUUGCAACCAUCCAACUCACACCUUGUUAGCACCAUCAAGGACGAAGCCACGUGUUGGGCACGCGCUGGCGUCAAGGGACUAGAUAGAAUUAUCCCUGUAACCUGA